ACCGGAUUAGAUACCCUGGUAGUCCACGCCGUAAACGAUGUCGACUUGGAGGCUGUUCCCUUGAGGAGUGGCUUCCGGAGCUAACGCGUUAAGUCGACCGCCUGGGGAGUACGGCCGCAAGGUUAAAACUCAAAUGAAUUGACGGGGGCCCGCACAAGCGGUGGAGCAUGUGGUUUAAUUCGAUGCAACGCGAAGAACCUUACCUGGCCUUGACAUCCAGAGAACUUUCCAGAGAUGGAUUGGUGCCUUCGGGAACUCUGAGACAGGUGCUGCAUGGCUGUCGUCAGCUCGUGUUGUGAAAUGUUGGGUUAAGUCCCGCAACGAGCGCAACCCUUAUCCUUUGUUGCCAGCGAUUCGGUCGGGAACUCAAAGGAGACUGCCGGUGAUAAACCGGAGGAAGGUGGGGAUGACGUCAAGUCAUCAUGGCCCUUACGGCCAGGGCUACACACGUGCUACAAUGGCGCAUACAAAGAGAAGCGACCUCGCGAGAGCAAGCGGACUUCAUAAAGUGCGUCGUAGUCCGGAUCGGAGUCUGCAACUCGACUCCGUGAAGUCGGAAUCGCUAGUAAUCGUGGAUCAGAACGCCACGGUGAAUACGUUCCCGGGCCUUGUACACACCGCCCGUCACACCAUGGGAGUGGGUUGCAAAAGAAGUAGGUAGCUUAACCUUCGGGAGGGCGCUUACCACUUUGUGAUUCAUGACUGGGGUGAAGUCGUAACAAGGUAAC
rnacentral:rRNA from 1 species